rnacentral:rRNA from 1 species
GUAGGGAAUAUUGGACAAUGGGCGAAAGCCUGAUCCAGCCAUGCCGCGUGAUAGAUGAAGGCCCUCUGGGUUGUAAAUAUCUUUUAUCUGGGAAGAAACUCCUCUAUUCUUAGAGGCCUGACGGUACCAGAGGAAUAAGCACCGGCUAACUCCGUGCCAGCAGCCGCGGUAAUACGGAGGGUGCAAGCGUUAUCCGGAUUCACUGGGUUUAAAGGGUGCGUAGGCGGGUUGAUAAGUCAGUGGUGAAAGAUCCGGGCUUAACUUGGAAACUGCCAUUGAUACUGUCAGUCUUGAAUGUCGUAGAGGUAAGCGGAAUGUUGCAUGUAGCGGUGAAAUGCUUAGAUAUGUUACAGAACACCAAUUGCGAAGGCAGCUUACUAUGCGAUAAUUGACGCUGAGGCACGAAAGCGUGGGGAGCAAACAGGAUUAGAUACCCGAGUAGUCC